rnacentral:lncRNA from 1 species
CCUUCUCUCUAUGUGUUUUCACAGAAACCCAGGCCCAGGGAGAACAUUUACCCCUCUUCCUACAUUUCAGAGCUGAAAAUGUCGGAAUUGUCAUGGUAAUGCCCAUAGUUGAUGUGACAGAUACUGAGAAGGAAAAACACGCUUGCCACAUGUGAAAACUGCCUGGUUGGUUCUGCUCUGAGUGCCUCUCUGGAGGGCACAUUGAUGGAUUUGACAAUCACUUAAUUCUACUAGAGCCUGACCUUCAGUCUGGAAGUCAGAUAUACGCAGCAGAGACGUAGAUGAUAGCCGCAGGCUGCUGCUGGUGGGAAGCUGACAGAGUCCACUUUAAAGGACUGCCUUCAGUACCAUCUACAUUCUUCUACCUGGGACUGUGUGUGGCCAUGCGGACAGGCUCUCACCUUCACUAAACAAUUCAACUGCUGAAUUCCAACUAUCACGACAACCAUUUACACCAGUAAAAUGAACCAGAGAAGUCAGUGUAUCAGAACCUAAGACGGGAAAACUCUAUUGGAUUUCCUUUUACCUUAACUCUUAGACUCUCUCCUCAUGGCUGCAAUUCCUCCGUGGUUCCGGCUGAUUUGAACCUCUCUCCAUCUCUGUGCUCCUUUCCCUGGCUGGUGGAAGUUCUGCCCCAUUCCCUUUUCUGCCCAGCCAUUGGGUGAUCGUCAUUUAUUGACAAGGCAGAGAAUAAAUGAUUUUGGUGGCUCCUGGUCUUCUUAAGUGAGUGGCAGUAUGACUCCAAGCUUUUUCCUGUGUCUCCACAAGGUCUCUCUCCUUAUAUGUGUCUUUGUUCCUUUGGGGGGGUCUCUUAUUUGAACACUGUCAUUAACAUUAGUGCUUGGCCUAACCUAGUUUGAUAGUCUUAAAUUUUAUCUUCCCUUUACCUAUAAAAUCCCUAUUUCUAAAUAAAGGUAUAGUCUGUGAUGUACAGAGCACAAAAA